rnacentral:ncRNA from 1 species
UCCGAUAAGGGCAAACCCCGGGUGACCGGGGGACGCAAAGCCGACGGGUCAGGCAGACAUCGCCUGAUGGCUGGGUUGCCGAAG